rnacentral:ncRNA from 1 species
AGAGUCCUAGCUCGGAAUGUUCCGGAUCCCUUCGGGGUGAUGGUCGUCCGUGUGAACGCUCGACCCCAUGCUGGUGCGGCUAGCGUAUUAACAGGUGUGACGCAGGAAGGUAGCCCAAGCCAGGCGAUGGUUGUCCUGGUGCAAGUGCGUAGGCCGACUCUUAGGCAAAUCCGGGAGUCAUGCAGGCUGAGACACGAUGCGGAUAAAAAAGUGGGUGAUCCUAUGCUGCCGAGAAAAGCAUCGACGCGAGGUUCUAGCUGCCCGUACCCCAAACCGACUCAGGUGGUCAGGUAGAGAAUACCAAGGAGAUCGAGAGAAUCGUGGUUAAGGAACUCGGCAAAAUGCCCCCGUAACUUCGGGAGAAGGGGGGCCAUCCACUUACUAGGACUUGCUCCGAAA